GUCCAGAUGUAGAAUUCGAAAUAUGGAUUUCAGAACAUAUGAAUAGGUCACAUCAGGCUUAUCCAGGGCCAGGGGCCCAGUUACUCCUUGCACAAAGAUGGCCAGCGGAAGGGUUGAAGAGAACUGAAAUCCAGCCCAUAGUCCACUCCUCAGCUAGUCCCUGUAGCAUCUAGCUACAGGGCUCCAUUCAUCCAGGAGGGUGCCUUUUUCUAAUUGACCCAAGGUACUAGACAAUAGACCCGGGUAUUAGCUGUGGCCCUGACUCUUACCCCACGCCUUGCAAAGGAUCAUUUAAGUCUCUGUGUUCAGUGUGGUCCUACUAACCCAGAUCAGGCAGUGCACGUGGUUCCGACAACGUCUUCUAUGCUGCGCCAGCCACCUGGGCUACAGCUGGUGGCUCAUUCUCUCCACUCAUCUGAAGAGACAGGCACAGGGCUGUUUCCCUUCUUGUAACUCCUACUCUUUCCUCCGGGUUCAUCGAUAGCCACUCAGUUGACAGCUUUUUGAUCUUUUCUCUGAGAUUUAUCAGUGCGUUUUCCAUUUUUUGAGAGCUUUUGUACAUAAUUCUGCUUUGCCUGGUGGUAUUGGUCAGCUUGCCAUUUUGGUAGCUCUCCUCUGUUUGGGUUCUUGCUCAUCUACAGCCUGUAAAAUGUGUGAUAUCUGAAAUGAAGACAUCUUACAAUGCUCUGAGAAGGAUGAAACAAAUGUCAUUACCUUCUGCUUUGGUUUGGAUCAAGGGCUUAUAUGUUGGAAGCUUAGUCCUCGAUGCAGAGGAGUUAAAAAGUAGAGGGACCUUUAAGAGGUAGGACCUAGAAUGAGGUCACAGUGGGUCCUGGCCUUGGAAGAGAUUAAGGUAGUUCUUGUGGGACCCCUUACUUAGUUCUUAUGAAGGCAAGUUAUAAAAGAGUGAGCCUGACUCCUGAAUUACUCUCUAGCUUCCUGUCUCACCUUGUGAUCUCUCCUUCUCACACAUGCUCUAGAACUUUGAGCAAAAUAUACCUCUUUUCCUUAUAAGUUACUCAGCCUCAGGUAUUUCAUCAUAGUAACAGAAAGUGGACUAAUACACCACCUUCAUCUAGGAUAAUAUACCUCUAUUAAUGCUGCUUGGUAACACAGCUUGCUUACUUAGCAGCCAAAAUCCAAAGAUUGUUGACAUGCAUGAUGUCGAUAAAUGAGCCAUUGUUACUCAACCCUCCUUUGAAUGGUCCUUUCUGCCACAGCCUUCAGGGACUUUCCCCCUUAACCUCCUGACCUUCCAGAAAAGACAACCAGCGGCCAAGUCUCACCACGCCUGUGUUUGCAGGCCCAGUCCCCAUCCUGUCUCAGUACAGCCUUUGUAAGUGCUGCCGGCUGGCUGCCUGUUUAUCACAGACUAGAAAACCUUGAUUUUUAACAAGAACAACAAAAAAGAAGUGCCAUCUAUG
rnacentral:lncRNA from 1 species